rnacentral:rRNA from 1 species
CAGUCGCCGCGGUAAUACGAAGGGUGCAAGCGUUACUCGGAAUUACUGGGCGUAAAGCGUGCGUAGGUGGUGGUUUAAGUCCGUUGUGAAAGCCCUGGGCUCAACCUGGGAAUUGCAGUGGAUACUGGGUCACUAGAGUGUGGUAGAGGAUAGUGGAAUUUCCGGUGUAGCAGUGAAAUGCGUAGAGAUCGGAAGGAACAUCAGUGGCGAAGGCGACUAUCUGGGCCAACACUGACACUGAGGCACGAAAGCGUGGGGAGCAAACAGGAUUAGAUACCCGCGUAGUCCCUGUCUCUUAUAC